rnacentral:rRNA from 1 species
AUGGAAACUGAAGUUUGGGAGGCGAUCAAGGCAUCCCCCUCUAAGAAGGCACCUGGACCUGACGGAUUCUCGGGCGCCUUCUACAGAUCAUGCUGGAGUCUCAUUAAGCACGACAUCAUGGCUGUUUUCCAUCAUUUCUACAACUUAGCUGGGGGUGAUUUUGCGGCCCUGAACUCUGCCAUGAUUGUGCUGCUGCCGAAGAAGGACGGGGCAACAAGUAUGGCUGAUUACAGGCCCAUCAGCCUAAUUCACUCCAUCGCA